GGUCAGUGAGCUGGGGGAGGCACUGACCGAGUGCCGCCUGGAGAUACGCGUGCCCCAGUGAGAGCAGUGGCUGCAUGAGAUGGUGAGGGGAGGGCCGCAGGACUUGAGUGUCUCUAAGUGGACCCCCCCAUUGAAUAAAUGGAGCGUUCCGAG